rnacentral:lncRNA from 1 species
UAUGAUGCUUAUCAUUACUUAUAAACUGCAGUUUUCACUAAAGAAAUAGGGAUAACAUUACAAAGCAUUAAGAAAUAACUCUUACCAAGUCAGAACCACACCAAUGGCAAAAGCACAUGAUCACAAACCGCUAAAUAUUGGACAAAGACCAAAACCCUGAGCAUGGGAGAGGCUGAAAGCACAAUGAAAAACACUUCAAGUUAAGGAUGAGUGAAAGAAGCUGACGUGGAAGCCAGGGAUACUAAUGGCAGGCAUUAUUUUCCAGAAAGGUCCUGGGUAAGAGGUCAUUGUUCUGUAUCACGCUGAGUUUUUACUGCAAGAAACCUAUGAAAAGUACCCAUUACUAAUAGCACUCAGCAAAGGUGAUCUACCCCAACCAGACAAAGCUGUGUGCCAUUUCCAAGAUGUUGCUGGCACUCGAACUUUCACUCAAGGUGUCUUACAUACCUUCUCCUCACUCUCAUUCAGAAUGUGCUUCCACAUUCUAUGCGCUCAGACUUCAAAAUCUCACCAACUUCAACAUCCAGGAGAAUAGAAGAGAUGGAAAUAAAGGAGGCAAGAAUGGUUUACAGAUCCAGCUGAAACCGAAUGGAAGGAAAGGCAGUGGAUUUCAUCAAGAUCCUACAGACAAGGCUGCCAAGUACUAUGAAAAACAACAACAACAACAACAACAAAAACUCAGGUUGACCAAUUGGAAACUCUAUAAAUCCAUGGAGUUCAACAUCAGGAGGACCUUUGGCAUUGUCUGGUGAUCCUUGUACUUGUCCUUCAACAGCUCCCAAAUCAGAAGGUCCUCAUGCAUUGGCCCCCUCUUUACUCAACUUGGCUCCAAACUCUAAUCUGGGCCCCUGUGGCUCCCCUUCCCCUGGGAUGGAUGCCUACCUUGCUGUGCCCCAACCCAAUGGCUUUAGGACCAAAUUCUUCAGGAGGAAGAGAAGAAGAGGAAGAAAAGGAGCAGAAAGAUAAAUCUACAUCUCUUCACUUUUACCCACUGGCAUGAAUUCUGUCUUUUGGGGUCUCCCAGAAUAAACAUAAUCAAUUCAUACGCAAGUAUUUGAGGUUGGUGUUCAUGUCCUGUCUUGUUCCUUCAGUCAUUCCUUAAAUGACAUGGUUUCAAGUACCCUCAACAUAUUGAGCAUUCUUUUCUGAAUAAAUCCUAUUCUGUCUACAUAGCUUGUAAAACUGUGUAGAGGAGGCACUUUUGGUUGCCUAUCCAAUAUCCUAUUCUGCCCCUAAAAUUCCUUCUUUCCUAAAAAAGCCUGACUUUGUUCAGGUAUCCACUCCCUUCCAUACAGCCACAUGCUGCAGGAAAUGAGAAAUCUAUCAUCAGCGCCUGACUAUUCCAUCAUGAUAACCACAUUCCUCUUACCAGUGGCAGGUUUAAUAAUGGGCAUGUGACCAAAUGCUAACUAAUGUGACAUGUAAGGAAGUCUUCUGGGGGGCUUCCUAAGCAAGGAGCACAACACAAGCAGAGAGCUCACUCUCCUUCCUCAGGACAUUACUGUGCCUGGGUGAGAUGCACAGAACUGUUGCAACGACCUUCCACCAGCUGAGGAUGAAACCAGCACAAGAAGGGCAAAACCAAGGGAAUCACAGACAAGUGGAGGCAGAGUCCUUAGGGACUGGCCAGAACCUCUCUUAUCAUUAGCCUUCUUGUUGUGUGAGAUAACAUGUUUCUUUUCUGUUUAAGCCAGUUUGGUCUGGUUUUCUUUUUAGCUGCCCCCAACAGCAUUCUGACUGAUAUAGAGUGAAGCUAGCAACCACACACCCCUCCAGGAGAGGUGUGAUAAGCUAGGGAACUUCCAAGUCCCUGUAUUUCCUCUGACAUAGCCCAAGUCAAUGGUGACACAUAACAUAGACUACUAAGACCUCCAUCUUUCUCACACCUACAACAAUGUUAUUUUGUAUUUGUAUUGUUAAAUUGUUGCCCUUCAAUAGAGAACUAGAGGUUUACUUCUUAUUUACAUUGUAAGCUUUUCCAUUGUUUCAACUAGUUCAGGUCUUUUAAGUGAGAAUAAUAAAGGAAAUUGAAGAGUUGCUACUUGAUUGCAAAGCAAAAGAGCUAGGAAUAGGACAAAAACCGAAUAAUAAACACAAAGCUAGGAGACAGAUUUUUGCCCCCGUAGUAAAUGUGCCACUAGACUAGUAAAAAGUCCUGACUUUCUGUGUUUCUAACUUCAUGCAUCUAUACAACAGUGAGGAACCUCAAGAUUCCCUUCCGGCAUUAAAAUUCUAUGACUCAAGAGACUUCAUCAGAGAAUUCAUGGCUCAGAAUUUC